CCUACGGGACGCAGCAGCCGCGGUAAUACGUAGGUGACAAGCGUUGUCCGGAUUUACUGGGUGUAAAGGGCGCGUAGGCGGAUGUGCAAGUCAGUCGUGAAAUACCGGGGCUCAACCCCGGGGCUGCGAUUGAAACUGCACACCUUGAGUAUCGGAGAGGAAAGCGGAAUUCCUAGUGUAGCGGUGAAAUGCGUAGAUAUUAGGAGGAACACCAGUGGCGAAGGCGGCUUUCUGGACGACAACUGACGCUGAGGCGCGAAAGUGUGGGGAGCAAACAGGAUUAGAAACCCCGGUAGUCCAGAAGG
rnacentral:rRNA from 1 species